AGUGAACGCUGGCGGUAGGCCUAACACAUGCAAGUCGAACGGCAGCACAGUAAGAGCUUGCUCUUACGGGUGGCGAGUGGCGGACGGGUGAGGAAUACAUCGGAAUCUACUUUUUCGUGGGGGAUAACGUAGGGAAACUUACGCUAAUACCGCAUACGACCUACGGGUGAAAGCAGGGGAUCUUCGGACCUUGCGCGAUUGAAUGAGCCGAUGUCGGAUUAGCUAGUUGGCGGGGUAAAGGCCCACCAAGGCGACGAUCCGUAGCUGGUCUGAGAGGAUGAUCCGCCAGACUGGAUCUGAGACACGGUCCAGACUCCGACGGGAGGCCGCAGUGGGGAAUAUUGGACGAUGGGCGAAAGCCUGAUCCAGCCAUACCGCGUGGGUGAAGAAGGCCUUCAGGUUGUAAAGCCCUUUUGUUGGGAAAGAAAAGCAGCAGGUUAAUACCCCGCUGUUCUGACGGUACCCAAAGAAUAAGCACCGGCUAACUUCGUG
rnacentral:rRNA from 1 species